UAGGGAAUCUUCCACAAUGGGCGAAAGCCUGAUGGAGCAACGCCGCGUGUGUGAUGAAGGCUUUCGGGUCGUAAAGCACUGUUGUAUGGGAAGAACAGCUAGAAUAGGAAAUGAUUUUAGUUUGACGGUACCAUACCAGAAAGGAACGGCUAAAUACGUGCCAG
rnacentral:rRNA from 1 species